GACGAACGCUGGCGGCGUGCUUAACACAUGCAAGUCGAACGGAAAGGCCCUGCUUUUGUGGUGUGCUCGAGUGGCGAACGGGUGAGUAACACGUGAGUAACCUGCCCUUGACUUUGGGAUAACUUCAGGAAACUGGGGCUAAUACCGGAUAGGAGCUCCUGCUGCAUGGUGGGGGUUGGAAAGUUUCGGCGGUUGGGGAUGGACUCGCGGCUUAUCAGCUUGUUGGUGGGGUAGUGGCUUACCAAGGCUUUGACGGGUAGCCGGCCUGGGAGGUUGACCGGCCACAUUGGGACUGAGAGACGGCCCAGACUCCUACGGGAGGCAGCAGUGGGGAAUAUUGCACAAUGGGCGGAAGCCUGAUGCAGCAACGCCGCGUGCGGGAUGACGGCCUUCGGGUUGUAAACCGCUUUCGCCUGUGACGAAGCGUGAGUGACGGUAAUGGGUAAAGAAGCACCGGCUAACUACGUG
rnacentral:rRNA from 1 species